GUCUACGGCCAUCCCACACUGAAUGAGCCCAAUAUCAUCUGAUCUCGGAAGCUGAGCAGGGUUAGGUCUGGUUAGUACUUGGAUGGGAGAUCUAUAUUUAGUUUGUUAGAAAUUUGAAUAUGUACAAU
ensembl:rRNA 5S_rRNA 5S ribosomal RNA